GACGAACCGUGCGAACGUUGUUCGGAAUCACUGGGCGUAAAGGGCGCGUAGGCGGCUUGGUCAGUCCCGUGUGAAAUCCCUCGGCUCAACUGAGGAACUGCACGGGAAACUGCCUGGCUUGAGUUCGGGAGAGGGAAGCGGAAUUCCGGGUGUAGCGGUGAAAUGCGUAGAUAUCCGGAGGAACACCGGUGGCGAAGGCGGCUUCCUGGACCGACACUGACGCUGAGGCGCGAAAGCUAGGGGAGCAAACGGG
rnacentral:rRNA from 1 species